rnacentral:rRNA from 1 species
GACGGAGAAGGCAAGCGUUGUUCGGAAUCAUUGGGCUUAAAGCGCGUGUAGGCGGCUUGGCAAGUACCUUGUGAAAGCCCCCGGCUCAACCGGGGAACUGCUGGGUAUACUGCCGGGCUUGAGGCAGGUAGGGGUGCUUGGAACUCUAGGUGGAGCGGUGAAAUGCGUAGAGAUCUAGGGGAACGCCGGUGGCGAAAGCGGAGCACUGGGCCUGUCCUGACGCUGAGACGCGAAAGCGUGGGUAGCAACCGGG